AUGUUUAGGAGCAGGAUCUGCCCAAGAACGACCUGUGGUGGUACGGAAGGCACGGACUCCGCAAGCGUCCCGCACCCUCUAAGAAAGAAACUCCUCAACCAUCACAAGAUAAAGAAGUAUGACGCUUUGUGUCUGACUCUAUUGGUCAUAGUUCCUUGCUGUUGCGGCCGGUGCUCGUUUGCGUGCGUGUGA
rnacentral:rRNA from 1 species